rnacentral:rRNA from 1 species
CCUACGGGUGGCAGCAGUAGGGAAUAUUGCUCAAUGGGCGAAACCCUGAAGCAGCAACGCCGCGUGGAGGAUGAAGGUUUUCGGAUUGUAAACUCCUUUUGUUAGAGAAGAUAAUGACGGUAUCUAACGAAUAAGCACCGGCUAACUCCGGGCCAGCAGCCGCGGUAAUACGGAGGGUGCACGCGUUCAUCGGAAUCACUGGGCGUAAAGAGCGCGUAGGCGGGAUAGCAAGUCUGAUGUGAAAGCCUAUGGCUCAACCAUAGAACUGCAUUUGAAACUGUUAUUCUAGAGUGUGGAAGAGGUAGGUGGAAUUCUUGGUGUAGGGGUGAAAUGCGUAGAGAUCAAGAGGAAUACUCGUGGCGAAGGCGGCCUGCUGGAACAUAACUGACGCUGAUGCGCGAAAGCGUGGGGAGCGAACAGGAUUAGAUACCCCAGUAGUC